GCCCGGAUAGCUCAGUCAGGUAGAGCAUCAGACUUUUAAUCUGAUGGUCCAGGGUUUCAAGUCCCUGUCCGGGCG